GACAAACGGGUCAAAUUAAGAUUUGUACAGUAAAAAGGGGGUUAUGAAUAAUAACAGAUUGAAGAGAAAUAUUAUGUUUUCUAGGAAGGUUAAAUUUGAAUAGGAAUAAUUAAUUUUUUGAUUUCUUAGUUUUUGAGGCCCCGAAAUUUUAGUAUAAAACCGGGAUUAGAUACCCCGUUAUUUGAAUAUUAAAUUUUGAUUUAGUUAUAUAAUAAUUUACUUGAGUAUUACGAGUGCGAAUAAAGUGAAUCCAAUGUAGAAUGAUUUGUUUGUUUUUUCUUAAAACUCAAAGAACUUGGCGGUGCCUUAAGUCCUUCCAGGGGAACCUGUCCUGUAAUUGAUAGUCCACAAUUUAACUUUCCUUUUAUUGAAGAUUUUUUAUUAAAUUUCAGCUUGUAUACCGUCGUCGUCAGAUUACCUUUAAGAGUAACAAAGUUAUCGGAUAGAAAAGAAAUAGUUAAGAUAAUUUAUAUUUAUGUAAAAAUGAAGUUAUUGUUGUAUAUAUUUAUUUCUGUACGUCAGAUCAAGGUGCAGCCGAUGAAAAGGUAGAGAUGGGUUACAAUAGCUAAUUGCUAUACGGAUUUCUUGUUGUGAUAAUAGAUUGAAGGAGGACUUGGAAGUAAUUAUGAGAGUAAGAGAGCUCUAAUGAAUAGUGGCUCUAAGGCGUGC
rnacentral:rRNA from 1 species